AUCCCCAUCCAGCCGCCAAUGACCACCUCCCUCUCCGACAACCGGCGAGCUCCCCACUCCCAGACUCGUCGGCGACCUUCCGGCCUCCGCCUUCUACGCCACCCUUCUCUCCCUACACCCCAGAUCGAAUCCAGCAGCUCAGGACGAAACCCUAGCUCGAUGCCAUGGCCACACCAGCAGCAGUCCCUCCCUCCCUAGCCCGCGGCCAUGGCGACCUAGCAGGCAAGAGGAACCUGAACCCUAUCACCGGCCAUGGCGAGCGUGGAAGGCACCAUGGGAGAGGAGGCAUGUGCUGCUGCUCAAGACCCUAAACCAGAAAGGAAGCUCUUCCUCACCUCACCUUUUCUCUCUCCCUGAUCGAGCACCUUCGCCAUGGGAGAGGAAGGUUGUUUCAUCCGCCUGCUGUACUGCUGCUCUAGGGGACAUGCACCUGCUUGUUGUGCUGCUGCUCUGUACGCCAUGGACAUCCCUCCUCUGGUUCUCCUCGCUCGUCAAGGUAGUAAGCUGCUCUAACCCAUCUUCCCCUCUCAAAUUCGGUACAAGAAAAUGAUUUUUGUAACUGGACAUCAAAAGCAGAACCGGUGUGUGUUGUUGGUCAAGCAAGAAGAAAGAAAAAAGGCAUCCGUUGCCUGCAAAACAAAUCUGUGUGUGUGCUGCUCUCCUCCUCCUCUGUUUUUGCUUGUGUCAAUUUGCUCCAACAGCUUGCGCGCGUGUGUGCAUCCAUUGGGAGAGAGAGAGGCUCUUGCCAACACCUCUACAAUCUCACCGGAGUUCUAUUUUUCUGUGAUGUUGCCUAUUUUGUUGUUGAAAUUGACCGUAUCCCUGUGUCAAAUGGAUAUUUUUUCCUCCAUUGAAAUGAAGCAUAUUGCUUUUGAGUGCGCACAUUGACAUUACUGUGGAAUAAAAUGUUCAUUAUAUGCUCUUCUGUUGAAUAACGUGUAAAACAGGUCCAGCCAUUUGCCAAGUCUAUUAUAUUUGUUCUAAAA